rnacentral:rRNA from 1 species
UACGUAGGGUGCGAGCGUUAAUCGGAAUUACUGGGCGUAAAGCGUGCGCAGGCGGUGCUGUAAGACCGAUGUGAAAUCCCCGGGCUUAACCUGGGAACUGCAUUGGUGACUGCAGCGCUGGAGUAUGGCAGAGGGGGGUGGAAUUCCACGUGUAGCAGUGAAAUGCGUAGAGAUCCGGAGGAACACCAAAGGCGAAGGCAGUGUCCUGGGGAGUACCGUGACGCUCAGGUGCGAAAGCCAGGGGAGCGGAACGGG